rnacentral:rRNA from 1 species
UACGAAGGGGCUAGCGUUGCUCGGAAUCACUGGGCGUAAAGGGUGCGUAGGCGGCGCGGUAAGUCGGGUGUGAAAUCUCGGAGCUUAACUCCGAAACUGCAUUCGAUACUGGCGAUCUCGAGUCCGGGAGAGGUGAGUGGAACUCCGAGUGUAGAGGUGAAAUUCGUAGAUAUUCGGAAGGAACACCAGUGGCGGAAGGCGACUUACUGGACACAUAUUGACGCUGAGGUGCGAAAGCGUGGGAGCAAACAGG